rnacentral:sRNA from 1 species
AUCAGUGGUGAAUGAGAGGCACUGAGAGAAGAAGGUGGUUGCACUUGUUCCUAAAGGUGAUGUUGAUGGUGAAAUGGGUGAUGCUCACAUGAAUUGAUGAGUCAGGCACUUCGAAAAUUGAGCCAUGCCUUAUCACAGACAUAGCAUAUCUCUUUU